UUCAGUAUGGAAGACAAUGACCUGCCACUUUUAAUUUUUUCCCGUUUUGCUCUUCUACCAAAUACCGCUUUUAACACAGGCUUUUCACUGAGUAGUGGACAAUCUAUCAAAUAGGUGCUGUUCGGUGUGAGGGGCAUUUGCAAAGGUCUGCGUCAGUGCUGGCUGAUGGAACUUUCCGGUGAUAGCAUCGUUCCAUAGCUGCACUGUCCAGUGCGGAGGCUACUUGCCACUGUGUCUACUGCUCCGGACGGUGCAGGUCUGAAUAUCUCACACACAGCGGCCGCCGUGUCUACUGCUCCGGACGGGUCUGAGCAUCUCACACACAGCGGCCGCCGUGUCUACUGCACGGGACGGUGCAGGUCUGAGCAUCUCACACACAGCGGCCGCUGUGUCUACUGCUCGGGACGGGGCAGAUCUGAGCAUCUCACACACAGCGGCCGCUGUGUCUACUGCACGGGAUGGUGCGGGUCUGAAUAUCUUAAACACAGCUCACCUUUUUGGUGCCUUUGAUCCGUGUUAGCAAUUACCCACAUCUUCUCUCUGGGCAAUAUUCUACUUUCAUUUUAUAUUGACCCAAUUAUUUUACCUCUUUGG